UUUGCAUAAAAAUAGCAAGUGAGCUUUGUUCUCCGUACAGUUCUCAAGAGCAACUGCUAGGUUUUAGCGAACAAAAAUGUGCUUUUCAAGGUUUUGUAAGUAUCUUUAGACCAGUCCUUCAAAUACUGAUUUUUGAGAAGUGUCAUAACUGUCAUAUAGAUGGCGUGUUGAUUGUGUCAGUUUUAUGGUCUUGUGGAGUUUGCUGUCAAAAGUUAAGGUAUCUUUUCUUCGAAAAUUACCAAUGAAUUCAUGGGAGGAAACGUGAAAGCAGUGAAAGGUUCGUGCAGCCUACCGUCAACUAUUUUGUUCAAAAUCAUUGUAUUCUAUUGAAUAUGCCAUCGAAAUGAUACAGGAUUCAUCAUAAAUAUUCACCGUUUGUAUUGGACUUGCUAGAUCACCAACUCCAGCAUGGACCAAUCUCUCAUUCCAUCUUGAGAGAACCUUGGAUAACUGAUUGGUGGUUUCAUCUUUCAUGUAUCAUAGACAGCAAAGCACAUUAUGAACAAAUUAUAAACAAGACUAAGAAAAGCCAUGCUGUCCAUUGAAGAAUAAGGACAAUGACUAUACAUUCAACAAGGUUCCUUGUUUGCUAACCCGUUGGCUGCUACCCUUGAAUCUCCCAUUUAACUUCUUUACACGGGUCUUCUAUAUUUGAGGUUAAUCCUUCCCCGCUAUUUAAUAGACUUCAUCCAUUGGUGAAAACUGACGAGAGAAUGCUGAAAUUCAAGACUCGUCAAUAAUUUAUGUAGAUGUAGAUAUAUUACAAGUGCAUAUCUGGGCUCCCUUCUUCAGUGGCCCCGUUUCCCUAAAUAACCACUAACCAACGCCCGCCGGUGGUCACUCACUCGCUGCGACAACCAGGAGGAAGGGAGAUGUUUGGUCGAACGGGGACUUGCAAGGCGCAUGAUUCGAUGAAAUCUGUUGGAGGGUCAUGAGUCUAAGCCGGAAGCCUACUAUGACACACUGCUCUCAUAAUAACUGCUCCUCAGCUCUCUUCGUUCUUUUUCCGGUUUCUCUUAACCAUGGCCGGGUAAUCUCCCUGGUCGAGUCAGUCGGGCAGUGUCUCCCCCUGCUCGACUGGCAGCAGUUUGUACCGGACGGUCUGUUUAA